rnacentral:lncRNA from 1 species
GGAGAAUACAGUACAUAGUUUCGAUGGCUAAUAUCGUUCUUCGUGUUAGGCCGUGUCUCAUGUGCAAGCGAAGCGAUGCUCUACGACGCGAUAUCACGAACGACAGAGAACAAAGCAAUAGACAUAACUUGGCGCAUUCCACUUGUAUAUCGCAGCGCCGCGUAGCAUCGCCUGCUGUAGAUGAAAUGCAUACUAGUUUGUUUUCUGAGGCCUUAUCUCACGUGCAAGCGACGCGACAAACGUAACGCUUCGUUAUGAUGUGCUACAAGCGUCAAUCUAUCCUAUUUCAGCGUCUGUAAUGAAAUAUCGUCCCAUUAUUUAUCCACUAAAUUUCGAUUAUGGUAAUUUUUUUUUUCUCUCGUG